UACCACGUUUAUCGAUUAUGCACGUUGGUUGCGUGAUUCAAUGUCAAGUGUACCUUCCAAGACGAUCUAGGUCCUAGUCUCGUGACUGACGGCGAGUGCAGACGUACAGCAGCCUUUUGACAAGACUGUCGCCGAGUGUACGGUACAUUGUGGACUGUAAAACUGAAGAGUGCACAGUGGAUGCCUGAUUUUGGAACCGAGUGUGAUCGUCUGUGCGGUGUGUUCACUCUGCGGGGAUGAUGGCCAGAGGAAGGAUGAUAGACAGACGACAGCUUGCAGAAGAAGAUGGGAGCGUUCUACCUGUGAGCCUGGUCGAGCUUAUAUUUUAUGGAUACACAUGCAUGGAUACACAUACAUGGAUUCCCUACAAGGACCCUGCGCAUCAAAAGCAAUCUGUCAUCAAUGUUAAGUAGACAGAUUAAACGAAACGAAGAUAUGACAGGUGUACACCAUAUUUUUCUUUCAUUUAACCUCUGCAUGUUUCCCAGUCAAUAAAUGUUUUUAUCCAUUUUCUUUUGUUGAGAAAUGUCUUUGUACAGCACAAGUGUCGUAGAAGGUGCAUACGUGCACUUUUGUAUGAUGCUUGGCU